rnacentral:misc_RNA from 1 species
CGUAGAGUAGAAAGAACCCUGAAAAAAAAUCUAAGAAAUAAAAGCUCUGUAGGAAGGAAAUUGAAAAUGAAAUAGAGCUGAGUGGGGGAAACCUGGAAUUUCCAUUUUUGUAUAUUAUUGUUUCUUUUACGGCUUAUAUGCCCUGGGGUGUAAUAUUACCACCCAGUUGCUGUAUAAAUAUUCUCAUUGGUGUGCUUCUACAUUUCUUUUCCCAUUCAAUGAAAAUAUUUAUACAGCAACUGGGUGGUAAUA